rnacentral:lncRNA from 1 species
CGCCGGGGAGGCGCUGCGGGGCCUGCAGUGCGCGGCGCGGGGGCUGCGUUCCGGCCGGGCCAUGGCCGCGGCGCCGCUGCGAGUGUGCAUCGUGGGCUCGGGCAACUGGUCGCUCAAGGACCACUUGCCUCUGAUUGAAGCUUGACUGGCUGACUCAGAUUCCCAGAGGGUGGGACGGUUUU